rnacentral:rRNA from 1 species
UACGUAGGGUGCAAGCGUUGUCCGGAAUUAUUGGGCGUAAAGAGCGUGUAGGCGGCCAGACAGGUCCGUUGUGAAAACUAGAGGCUUAACCUCUAGACGUCGAUGGAAACCGUCUGGCUAGAGUCCGGAAGAGGAGAAUGGAAUUCCUGGUGUAGCGGUGAAAUGCGCAGAUAUCAGGAAGAACACCCGUGGCUAAGGCGGCUCUCUAGUACGGUACUGACGCUGAGACGCGAAAGCGUGGGGAGCGAACAGG